rnacentral:rRNA from 1 species
GACGAACGCUGGCGGCGUGCUUAACACAUGCCAGUCGAACGGUGAAGCGCCUUCCUUUUUGGUGGGUGUGGAUGAGUGGCGAACGGGUGAGUAACACGUGAGUAACCUGCCCCCUUCUUCUGGAUAACCGCAUGAAAGUGUGGCUAAUACGGGAUAUUCUGGGUCUGUCGCAUGAUGGGUCUGGGAAAGAUAUUGUUUCGGUGGGGGAUGGGCUCGCGGCCUAUCAGCUUGUUGGUGGGGUGAUGGCCUACCAAGGCGGUGACGGGUAGCCGGCCUGAGAGGGUGGACGGUCACACUGGGAAUGAGACACGGCCCAGACUCCUACGGGAGGCAGCAGUGGGGAAUAUUGCGCAAUGGGCGCAAGCCUGAUGCAGCGACGCCGCGUGAGGGAUGGAGGCCUUCGGGUUGUGAACCUCUUUCGCCAGUGAAGCAGGCCUGCCUCGUUUGUGGGUGGGUUGACGGUAGCUGGAUAAGAAGCGCCGGCUAACUACGUG